UACAGAGGGUGCAAGCGUUGUUCGGAAUUAUUGGGCGUAAAGGGCGCGUAGGUGGCCAACUAAGUCAGACGUGAAAUCCCUCGGCUUAACCGGGGAACUGCGUCUGAUACUGGAUGGCUGGAGAUUGGGAGAGGGAUGCGGAAUUCCAGGUGUAGCGGUGAAAUGCGUAGAUAUCUGGAGGAACACCGGUGGCGAAGGCGGCAUCCUGGACCAACACUGACGCUGAGGAGCGAAAGCCAGGGGAGCAAACGGG
rnacentral:rRNA from 1 species